GUAGGUGGCAAGCGUUAUCCGGAAUUAUUGGGCGUAAAGCGCGCGUAGGCGGUUUCUUAAGUCUGAUGUGAAAGCCCACGGCUCAACCGUGGAGGGUCAUUGGAAACUGGGAAACUUGAGUGCAGAAGAGGAAAGUGGAAUUCCAUGUGUAGCGGUGAAAUGCGCAGAGAUAUGGAGGAACACCAGUGGCGAAGGCGACUUUCUGGUCUGUAACUGACGCUGAUGUGCGAAAGCGUGGGGAUCAAA
rnacentral:rRNA from 1 species